GGUGAAAUGCGUAGAUAUUAGGAGGAACACCAGUGGCGAAGGCGGCUUGCUGGACAGAGACUGACGUUGAGGCUCGAAAGCGUGGGGGAGCAAACAGGAUUAGAUACCCUGGUAGUCCACGCGGUAAACGAUGAAUGCUAGGUGUUGGCGGGCAAAGCCCGUCGGUGCCGCCGCAAACGCAUUAAGCAUUCCACCUGGGGAGUACGUUCGCAAGAAUGAAACUCAAAGGAAUUGACGGGGACCCGCACAAGCGGUGGAGCAUGUGGUUUAAUUUGAAGCAACGCGGAGAACCUUACCAAGUCUUGACAUCCUGCUGACCGUCCCUUAGCCGGGGCUUUCCUUCGGGACAGCAGAGACAUGUGGUGCAUGGUUGUCGUCAGCUCGUGUCGUGAGAUGUUGGGUUAAGUCCCGCAACGAGCGCAACCCUUAUCCUCAGUAGCCAGCAUUACGGAUGGGAACUCUGGGGAGACUGCCGGAGACAAUCCGGAGGAAGGUGGGGAUGACGUCAAAUCAUCAUGCCCCUUAUGACUUGGGCUACACACGUGCUACAAUGGUGGUAACAAAGUGAAGCGACCCCGUGAGGGUGAGCCAACCACAGAAAAGCCAUCUCAGUUCGGAUUGUAGUCUGCAACCCGACUACAUGAAGCUGGAAUCGCUAGUAAUCGCAGAUCAGAAUGCUGCGGUGAAUACGUUCCCGGGUCUUGCACACACCGCCCGUCA
rnacentral:rRNA from 1 species